ensembl:lncRNA
GCCGGGCCCCCCUGCCUCGUCCUGCCCGCGCGUCGGGGCCGGCGCGGUGCUGCUGGCGCGGCCCGGACAGUGGCAGGUGUGCCACCUUGGAGGUUUCUUUUUGAAGUUUCAACUGAUAUACAAACUUAUUGUGAGUUACCUGCCCUGUCACUACGGCGGUGGGAGAGACUGAAGACGAGAGCAACGCCAAGUCCGAAGACUUCAAAUGAAAAAAGCUGGCUGGGAGAACUUUGCCGAGAAGAGAUCCGCAGCAGAGCCGCGGUGGAAAUGGCUCCAGCAACACAGUUGCAAUUCUCGCAGCUGUGUGAGAGAGCCGGGGGUAAAUGCUGCCCCUGUGCAGCUGAUCCCUCUCAGAAGAACGGAGUUUGGGCAAGAAGUACUGUCUGGAGAUCUAAGAAUAUACAUGAAGUCAUCAUUACUGAUGGAAGGAAGCAGGGGAAAGCUGCAAAACUACUGGAGAACUGCACAUUCAUUAUGUGCAAAAAAAGAAAAAAGAAAAAAAAAGAAAGAAAAAGAAAGAAAAAGAGAAAGUAGUAUUAGAGCACCUUCUCCUCCCUGGACCUGGCUUUUCUCCUUUAUCAGCCAGCAAUUGGACUAUCACUUCGACAGUGUAUAGCACCCCACAAUAAAGAGCCUAAGGAGAGUCCUUCAGCUGAUGUCUGCUGGCCCAACGUGCCAAGCAGCAGAAGGCGGAGUAACAAAGACUCACAGAAAGCUGUUGGAAACAAUCAUUGGCAAUAUCGCUAAUAAGACAUACUAAAAAGUCAUAUGGAAACCCUUAAAAACAAUUUUUUCCUCAGUAGCUCACUCUUGAACUUUUAGGAUCAUGCCAGGGUUGUGUUUUGAAUUUAUUUUUCACAAGCCUGAGAGCUAACUACUUACUUUUAUAAAAGACAUGUAAGCUUGAGAUUGUCUCAUAUUCAAAUGACUUCUCACACCAGGAAUUAAAAAAAAAAAUAAAUAUCAUACAAAGUACUAAUUUCUACAGUGUUGAUAGCACUGCAAAAGCAGUUGUGGAGUCAUUAAUGCCCAGUGAUUCCCACACAGUUCUUAGUUUUGCUGUGUUAGAUUGUGUUUGCAGUGGAGCUAGCACCUCCAACCCAUGGUGUGAUCCUGGGAGGAAGAUCUCUGUAUUUGCAAAGUGCUGAGCUAGCUGCCUAUCAAAAAAGACCAGAAAAUUUUGUCUUCUGUCACAAGCACUUAAAGCUAAUAUCACAAUGAAAUGCUACAUAGGGAAAAUUUACACUAAGACCAGCUUUGUAAACCUUGAACACACUGAGGAAUAGUAUGUUUCUUGCAGACUUGCAUGGUAUUACAUUUUGCAGUCUCAGGCCCAGUCCUUACCUCAUGAUUCACUCAAACAAAACAUUUAUUGAAGCAAUUUGGAAUUUGGCAGGAAGAAAAAUAGAGAUAGUUCAAAAUCAAAAUACAGACAGAAACACUUUGGUCUUCUAGUGAAGUUUGGAUCCUUACACAGACCCAAAGUUUGCUGUUCAGAACUUAAUUCUCAUGUAAGAUUACAGAAGGACUUCCGAUGGGCCUCCAUCCGCUGAGCCCUGUGUAAGUAGGCUUUAACGAACGCCAUCUGUGGCUGUUCCACAGGCAUACCAAGUUCUUAAGGUACACAAUAAAGCGUUAUUUUUGUAAGAAUACUCUGUUCCCCACUUUGCCCCUGUAUUCCUCACCCAUUUGUUAUUCCCUCAUAAAGAACUGUUGCGUUAGAUGCUUCUUCGGUCCUAACCACUUUAAUCCUCCUCCUUUUGGUUUACUGUGGAGCAGCAGGUCUUGUCAGAGUGCUUGCGUGGAUUUUCUCUCAGUUGUUGGUAUUCGUGCUUGUCCUCCAAGUCUCUCUCUCUCUCCCUUUUAAGUAGUGAAAUCCUUUAUCUGUCCCCUCCUGACCCCCCCCUGCAUGUCUGGCUCCUGGGCAUCUACUUUACUUUUGUUCUCUGCUCCCCAGCAGCUGUCCUUGUUCUACUCAGCCACAGUAGCUCACAAUGGUUUGGUCUGCUUGUGCCCGUUCCCCUGGCUUCUGGGACACACAGAUGUCCAGCACUGUUUUCUGUGGUAAGAACUGAGGUAAUUCUUUCAAAUUGGACUUGACAGACCCCAAGUCAUAUCAAGGAGGAAAUUUAGCACAGUUCAGGGCAGAGGAGGCUCUGUGCCAUGCCCUGCUACACUGCUACACGCCUUGGUUUAGUUUGGAUAUUUCAGCGCCGAUUUCUGUGCGUUGUAAGUGUUCUGCAUUUCUCUCUCACUGCUGUUUAUGCUUCUUGCUAGAACUUCUGUUGGGUUUGAACAGCUAGGGCACCUGCCAGCACUCAUGCAGGGAAGGUUUCAGCCCUGGACCUCCACGGCGCUUUGGGAACAACGAAGGCCAUUGGAGAAACACAGUAUGGAAGCAUACAAUUUCUAGAAACAUUUCUCCAUAGCUUUUCCCAAGUGAGUAAUUCAGUUAGUGGAAAAAUAUAUACACAAUGCAAAUCAUCAGGUGGCCAAUGCUACAUAAUCUCUGCAAAUGCAUUUCCUCUCAAGAUACUUAAUGAAGCUGAGUUUCUAACAGUAUUUUUCUGUAAUUAAGACAGAACACGUUUUCAUUAAGGGUAAAUUAAUAAAAGUAAAUUAAAGAACAUAAAAGUGAUUGUUUCUCCUGUAGUCUUUGCACGCAUGCAUAUGCACGGACACACACACACACACUGAAGGAAAAAUGCUUGUCUUUGGCACGUAACCAAACCAGCGUUUUGGCUUUUGUGCCCCCUCUACUGGUUGGCCUUCGUACAUCUGUGUUAACGAAGAGCUACUACUGAGAUCGUUAGUGACACUAUCACAGUAACAGGAUUUGCCACGCUGAAAAAAACUAGAAAGGAUAAUAACUUUAAAAGCCCUACAGAACUGUAAUUUCAGAAUUAUUUGCUCUGAGCAUAUAUUCAGACUCAGAGUAUCUCCUUAAGUGUGAAGAUACGAUACAUCCAGCGUCACAUAGAACUGUAAAGCUUCCUUUGCAAAGGACCAUCUCCAAAACAUAGAAGACCUGUGCAAAUGGAUUGUUGUAUUGAUUCCUUUAUAACUUCCAGUGUCUUGGUAUAAAAUAUUUCCACUUCUUGUAUUAUUUCUCAUCAAAAAC